rnacentral:rRNA from 1 species
UACAGAGACUGCAAGCGUUGUUCGGAUUCAUUGGGCGUAAAGGGUGCGCAGGCGGUGUGCUAAGUCGGAUGUGAAAUCUCACAGCCUAACUGUGAUAGGUCAUUCGAAACUGGCAUGCUAGAGGUCUGGAGAGGAGACUGGAAUGGUCGGUGUAGCGGUGAAAUGCGUAGAGAUCGACCAGAACACCGGUGGCGAAGGCGGGUCUCUGGACAGUUCCUGACGCUCAAGCACGAAAGCCAGGGGAGCAAACGGG